GAUAAAGGGAAACCGCCGGACCUCCACCAUAAAUUCCAACGUUCCCUGAAAGAACUACCAUCCCCUGUAUACUCUCUCCAGCCCCGUUCGGUGCACACCUGUUAAACAUUCCAUGCUUACCCAAAAAAGAUCCAAGAGACCACCUGAAAAAAUAUCCUAAACCCCUGAGGUCAUUCCUGAACUCCUAUCAGAUUUUUUUUUUUCACAAUGGAAUCAUCCUCUAUUUCAUACGUCAAGAUCGUAUAAGGAUUCUUUAAAGGGUAAGUCAUAAAAAUAGUGAAAACCGUCCUUGAUUUAUUGUCGUGUUAUUAGAACAUUAACUAUGACUUAGGAACAUGAAGCGAGCCAAGGUCUGUAAUUACAAUUAAAUUUAGCAAACUUUGUCACGAUAGCCUACUUUUGUUACACAGUGUUGUGUAUCUAGGUAUACGCUUGUACAUUAAUAACUCCAAGAAUCAUUAGGUCUUAUCUCCACCCCAGAACUCCGAGUGCUUAUCCAUCCUCAGGCUUCCUCAAGGUCCACACUAGGUAAAUUCGCGUGUUCGUCGUUGUUAAAAGGACUUUUAAUAUUUUUUAUCUCUUUUUCAGUUAAACGCAACCGCCACUUUUUACAUGUGCAUGUAAAUUGGUGCAGUCUUCGAGAUUCUUGUCGACUCUACCAGCAAAAUUAAAUAACGUUUCGCAACUCUCCAAGUCACAUGGCCAAGAGGAAGCUUUACCGUCCGAGCAAAAAGUUGCAGAGUGACGAAUUUAAAAUUGAAAAAGAAACAAAAAAAGAAUAACGACAAUGGAGUAAUUCCUUUCGAAGAUCUUGGCCUAGAUAGUUAUCAGUAACGUUACAAGAAAAUGGAGCAGAUGGCUAUUUUUGGAUUUUUUUUUACAAAAGUUCGCCAACUAUUUAACGUUGCGUUUAAUGCCACCAGCACCUCCCUCAUGCCCCUCGUCACUAAUGUGUCUUAUAAUACCGUGUCCUAGCUUGAUUAAGGUAUCUGGUUCAAGGGUGACUAACAAUAUGCAUCGUGAGUCUGUCCAAGAGAUUGGAAUAUAGCUAUACACGAAAAUUUGUAUUUACCCUUUAUGUCAAUUCUAUCUAUUUAUUGAUGGAUUUUGUAUGGAUUAUAUAUAUUUAUAUACUACGAUAAGACUUAAAUAGAAAAAAAAAAUGUUUAUAGAUUCCACGCAUGCUUUGUAAUGGAUAAUGGGAAAUUUUAUACUUGUACUAGAAGAUGGGGUCCUGCGCCGUUCUCGUUGAUUCUGAAUACAAAUGGCCCAUCCAAGUAAUUUACUGCCAUUCCAGGCUAUAUGCACUGCAGAGUCUCUGGCUUAAUAUGAACAUACGUCUAUGUUUUUACGCAGGGCCAUGCGAAUAAUAUUUCGGAGGAUCCGGAUAUAAUAUACACUAGCUAUUUGACUCUUUGAUAUAAUAUCUGAUGGCGGAUUUUUUAUUGGCAGUGUCUUUUUUCCUUGAUGAUUCUGAGGAUACUGGAAAAAUAAGGGGAUGUAUCAAGAGAGGAUUUGGCAUAAGGGUGUCAAGGAGAAUGAGUGAAAUAUGAGAUAUCAGAGGGCUGAGUGUAUUGUGGAUCUAUGAAAUUUCUAAUGCUUCAUGGAAAGACAUGCUACUACCCUUUUCGAGAAUGAGAACGUUGCCGUGCCACGCAUUCAAUUUUGUUAAUGAGGGUUUGCAAACAAGCGUAAUCCAUAGAACCACCCUUUGACCCUUUGGCUCUCGCAUGCCAGAAGUAUGUACGCCCAGGAGUAGAUGUGCUGGUAAAUAUCUUCUAGGGUGGUCGAUACUUCUUGUGCGCUAUUUGAGAAAUUGCGUGCACGCUAAUGGAUCAUUCUCAAAAAUUAAUCAAAGCUGGAAUCUCGCAAGUGUCUCCCUCAUAGAAAGCAUAUAAGUUAUAUUACAGUCACCGUAUCUCCUGUUUUCUUAUACACAAAGUCGAGUACACCUCCUUCACUCUUGAGGAAGUUCUUUUAGAUCUCAAAAUCUAUGGAGAUACAAGGGCUACGUAUAUCAUCACUUUACCUAAAGUUUCUUUAAAAAAGACAAAUAAUAUAACUAAUAAUAAAAAUAAUCACGAGAUGUCGGAGCGACUACCGGAGAUGCGUCCCGACUCGAUGGGAGUCCGUAGCGCAACUGAACAGAACUGAAUAGUGAAUUUCCUUCGCUGAACUCUGAACUAAAGCGGAACCGGGACCCGGUAUUGGGACGUACCGGGUGUAAAAAAAGCGGUUCUACCAGCGUCCAUCUACUCCAAGGGAGACUUUCUGGGGGAAGAUUCUCAACGUCUUUUGGAUGACACACCCGUUACAUUCCAGAAUUCCACAAUGCUCACUCGCUAUGUGACGUUCCAAGCACGCAAUCACUUUCCCGUAUUUCCUGCAACAGCAAAUCACCAUCCAUAGCUUCUGCACACGUGUAAUAUCAGCCUCUUUGGUGGUACGUGAUUGUCAUUCGAAAUCCUACAAGAAGUAGUGGUGAUAAUAGUUGAAAAUUUGGUCGUGUAAAAAGAGAACAAGAUGGCGAGUAAAAUUUAAUAUUUAAUAAGGUUUAUAUUGCCUAAGUGAAAUUAGGGCUUUUGGUCCCUUCAUUAUUAUACCGUAUUUUGUUCAGGGUCAAAGAGAAUGACAAUAUCCCUUACUGCCAGAGGCCGAAAAUAGUACUGUGACACUGCUUGAGAAUGGGGGAAGACACGAAAUGCGAAUAACAAAGUGGAAGUAGAGGAACGACGACAAGCUGAUAAAGGAGGUUAAUGAAUUAGCCGAGGAGGUCUCUGCGGCACCAUCAUUUUGGUAAUUCAAGUUUCAAUUUAUCGUCCUUCUUACUUCCCUGUUCCCAGGGCGACCUCAACGCAACGAUAAUACCGUGGCGACUUCUUCAAAUGCUACUUUACAUAAAAUGGUGACUCCACGACAAAAUGACACGCGAAUGAUUCCACCGCAUGUUUAUUCACCUAACCUAGUGGCUCAUGAAACGAAGCAGAGUUAUGGUAACCUCUGAUCAAUAAAUCCUUGUAUGUCAGUUAAAUGUCCCAGGACGAUGGUAGGCAAACCCACCGACGUAGACAACAAUACAUUCGCUUCAGGCUAUUCAGCGACGAUCAAGGAACUCUUCUUCUGGAGGUGGAAACCCCAGUCUUCCGUUGUUUGUUCAUCACAAUGAAAAUUAUUGAAUGAAUAUUAAUAGCCCAACAGACAGUCAGUGCGUUACGAUUUUGUUCUGUAUCGACCGAUAGAACAAUUAAUUGUUUCUAUUAAUUUUCAAUUGUUCUGUUCAGCACGAACAGCACUAACGGAACACUAGCAUUGAUAUGGCCACUUGAUAGUAAAUUUUGUAACAAUCGACCAAUCAAAUCUAUUUGUACCUUCAGCUGCUUUUUUUGAACACAUAGCAUAUGCAUUAAAAGAAUCUUACAAUGAAAUCUCUUUAAAGACAGGAGAAAGAGAAGAAAACGAAUUUCUUGUACCAAUCGACAUCAUUGACUAGACCCUCCAGUCACAGAAGGUCUAGGGCUUUAGAUUUUAGAAAUUCCUAUACUUGUCGCGAGUGCGAGAGAGAGGGUCUU